GAUUCUAUAGCUCAAUGGUUAGAGCAGCGGACGGUUAAUCUGCAGAUGAUGGUUCGACUCCAUCCAGAAUCA
rnacentral:tRNA from 2 species